CCCUUCCAUUACUCUUUCCCUCUACCAGUUCCUCCUCCAAACCCUUCAGUGAUUUGGUUUCUUCCUCGGGAAAUAGUACUCGACAAUGGGAUGUUCAAAUUCAGUAAAAAACAAAUGAGUAUUCCUUAUUCACUUAAAGGUUGUUUCUUUGCAAAAAUUUAGUGAUGAUUCUCACGCGGUGGUUUUAAAAUAAACCAUUUUAGUGUUUUGGUCAAAAGGGUGUACUUGGAUUCAUGAUGAUUUGGAUAAUUUACAAAUUAUCAUGGUAUGUGGUUUGAGUUGUUCUUGGACAAAAUUAUAUAUUCUUCAUGAUGAUUUUUAAUUUCAUGAAAUUUGUUGUUGCAGUGAAUGUUAAUAAUCAAUUGAAAUCAUAUAAUAUAUCUGAAACGUUAUUCAAUUUUUUCUACAUGGGUUUUAUAUUCACACUUUGGUUAACGGUGACUAAAUAUCCAUGGGUUUCAGGUCACUUAAUUCAAGGAAUCUGCAGUUUAAUAUUCAAAG
rnacentral:lncRNA from 1 species